UCAAUGGCAUGUCGAAAGUUGCAAUGCUCUCAGUGGAUGGAUGGGCUCCUUCAACCGUUGGUGCAUUUGAUAUUCGCAAUUCUUGCGCCCUGUAUAUUUGUAUAGGAAAAAAGAUUAGUGGAAGUACUAAAUAUAUGGAACGAAAAUACAACCGUGACCUUUAUCUUUAGAUCAAUAUAAAUGAAAUUUUUGUAUAAAUAACAGUCCAAGACACUACAAAUACUAUUUGGUGAGCCAUGUGGCCACACUUGCUCAUGUACAUGACAAACUUAACUAUAGAAAAACUAUGAAGAUGAGUAUACAUUAUUCUGACCAAGGAAGAAGGUACAGAUUCGAUGUCAACUUUAGUUGGUUCAAUGCAUGUACAGAAAUCACCAACACUUAUGUUUGUAGCAGCAUUUGUCUCUCGUUAAAUCUAAUGAACAAGAAGAUAGACAUACUUGAGGACUAAAUUAAAGAUGCAACAUAAAGGGUAAUAUUGUGAUAAAUUUGUACAUAGCCAGAUAUGAAGCGGCAAUGUCCUAUGCUCAUGACAAAUAGCUGUAGAGGUUUAGAAUAAGAAUGCAAAUAGAGUAGGACCCAUUUGGAAAGAAACCCCAUAAAAUCUAAGAGCUAUUUAUUCUAAAAUAAUGCAUGAAAAAGAUAAUUUUAGAAUGAAAGGACCAUACAAUUUGAACAACCAUUCAAGUACAUUAAGAAUCGAGGGAAUGAUUAUUCUAAAUAAUAAUGUAAGAAGAUGAUGCCUAGAAAUUCUUUAAUCUAGAUCAUAAUGCUGAUAAUUUAGCAUAUCAUUAUUGUACUCCAAGAUGAAGGAACAAAGUAGAUUGAUCGUGGUCGUUCCACCAUUGUCUAUUAGUUCAUCCAUGUACUCAAGAGAUGUACAUCAAGUCAUGCAUUAAAAUAAAAUUUCUGAAACAAUACACAUUUAGUAGCAAAAGGAGAUGCUACAAAUUGUCAAAUUCUUAUGGUUGUUCUGGUACAAGGUAGUCAUAUAUUUAUAAUUAGCUAUCUACCAGAAAAAUUCAUUGUAUUUCUAUAAGUUGUGGUUCUUCUUUAUAUCACUUACCUAUUGUCCUGUUUGGCAAGUUAUAAACACAACACAUGCUAAAAGCACUAAUCUGAACUGGGAAUGAAUUGAUGGACCUGUCUCUCAAGCAAUUUGUAAUAUGAAGUUGCAAACUGUAACAACCGUUAAUAUGAACCACUCAAAGCAUCCACAGAAGUGCAUGUUGAUAAUGAAUAUCACAACACAUGUCAAACCAAAUGAAGCGGUGAUUGUGCCAUAGUGUUAGCCAAGGAGAAGCAAAGCAACAUACCUGAAUGUGAACUCUUGCAGCUCACGUGCCUCUUGGAUAUUGUACAUCAAACAUAAGCCCUACAAGAGUCAAAACACAUUUGUGUCCAAAGCAGGAACACCUUCUGAGCAAUUCAAAAAUAGAAAUUCUAACAACUGUACCGCUCUAGCAGCCAUGAUCGCAGUUGUGUGUCAGGCACAUGUUCCAAGCAAUUCCUAUUCCAAUAUAGAAAUUCCAAACAAACAAGCACAACAACCCCUACAACAAGCAACAGUAAAUCAGUUGGGUUUGAUAUGGGAACAUCUACGAAAUCACAUGGAUGAAGAAGAAUCGCUAACUGACACAGAACUAAGCAACGAACAUG
rnacentral:lncRNA from 1 species